UCCACAUAAACCUCAAUUUUCAUGCAUGUCCGUCAGACCCGUCAAUCACGUUCCAGCACCGAAAAAGCGCCCACAGCUCGCAGAGGAAAAAAAAGAAAAUGACAUUAGGGAAUCAUGCUGAUGCAAUCAAACAUCCAGUAGACCUACAGAUGUUCCAUCAGCUGUUCGAGAAAUCCAAC